AGAGCGAACGCUGGCGGCAGGCCUAACACAUGCAAGUCGAGCGCCCGUAGCAAUACGGGAGCGGCAGACGGGAUAGUAACACGUGGGAACGCGCCCUUCGGUUCGGAAUAACUCAGGGAAACUUGAGCUAAUACCGGAUACGCCCUUACGGGGAAAGAUUUAUUGCCGAAGGAACGGCCCGCGUCCGAUUAGCUAGUUGGUGAGGUAAUGGCUCACCAAGGCGACGAUCGGUAGCUGGUCUGAGAGGAUGACCAGCAUCACUGGGACUGAGACACGGCCCAGACUCCUACGGGAGGCAGCAGUGGGGAAUAUUGGACAAUGGGCGCAAGCCUGAUUCAGCCAUGCCGCGUGGAUGAUGAAGGCCUUAGGGUUGUAAAGUCCUUUUAACGGGGAAGAUAAUGACGGUACCCGUAGAAUAAGCCCCGGCUAACUUCGUGCCAGCAGCCGC
rnacentral:rRNA from 1 species